UGUAUUUUAAUGUCUUCAUGUAUCCUCUUGCAUCCUAAUGUGCUUUCUUACCAGAUACUACUGUCUGAGAAGGAAGGACAAACACGGUACAAGCCAUUAUAAACCAAGACUCGAAGAACUGCAUGAUGUUCUCAGCAAUCUGUUACAGUGUUGUAUGAAAUAUCAUGGAAUCCAAUGAAGAACAGUAAGGAUGAUCAAGUGCCUAGGUCAACAGAGCAGAUUUUAUAUUAUCUCACCUGCAACAAAGAGAUUUAAUGCACCAUCUCAAGCCAUAUCAUUAACUGACAAAUGCUCUAAUUAUUCUAUGAGGGCAGAGCAAUGGAGAUUUAGCGGGAGGGUAGGGGAGGACUAAGCCGGGCAAUUAGGAAAAGCAAUCUUUGCUCCCUGAGGUGGAUAGAUAGAGAGAGAGAGCGGUAAGUAUUAACACAGUGCAUGUCUCUUUAAAUGAAGGGAACGCAAGCAAGAGAGAGCAUGUGAAAGGGGGAGGGGGAGUUGGCUGCGUUGGAACAGUCCGCCUCUAAUGAGCAGAUUUGAGAGACACCAGUGUAAGAGAGAGAGACAUCCAAGCAUAUGGGGGAAUAAGAUGACGACGGAGAAAAAGACAAUCAGCAUCAUGAAAAUCAUUCCAGCAACGUGAUUGAGUCAAGGAAGAACAGAAGAAGGUAAAUCUGGAACAAUGUAUCUGGUUUUCCCACCUGCAAGCAAACCGGGGCACAGGAUUUUUAUACAGACCUGAAAAGAGAGCUGAGAGGAAAGCAGAGACAGUGACUAAACAGUGCCCAGAUAAGGAAUUAAUCACAUCAGUUUGUUUGCGAUCAAGCUGCACGCUCAUCCUGUGCUGGCAAGAGCGUGCGUAUAUAUGCAUGUGAUUGUGUGUGGAUAGAGACUGCAUUGCUGCUAGCUGACGGAGACUGAAGCUUGCAGAAUCCAUCGCUCUUUUUUCUGGUUUCUCUUGCACUCUGUCUCCCUGUGUGGCAUCAGUAUGUCGGGUGGA
ensembl:lncRNA